rnacentral:rRNA from 1 species
CCAGGGUUUGACAUCCUGCGAAUCUUUUGGAAACAGAAGAGUGCCUUCGGGAACGCAGUGACAGGUGGUGCAUGGCUGUCGUCAGCUCGUGUCGUGAGAUGUUGGGUUAAGUCCCGCAACGAGCGCAACCCACGUCGUUAGUUGCCAGCAUUUAGUUGGGCACUCUAGCGAGACCGCCGGUGAUAAACCGGAGGAAGGUGUGGAUGACGUCAAGUCAUCAUGCCCCUUACAUCCUGGGCUACACACGUACUACAAUGCUACGGACAAAGGGCAGCAAACUCGCGAGAGCUAGCAAAUCCCAUAAACCGUGGCUCAGUUCAGAUCGUAGGCUGCAACUCGCCUACGUGAAGGAGGAAUCGCUAGUAAUCGCAGGUCAGCAUACUGCGGUGAAUACGUUCCCGGGUCUUGUACACACGCAAUC